GCGGCAGGCCUAACACAUGCAAGUCGAACGGACCCUUCGGGGUUAGUGGCGGACGGGUGAGUAACACGUGGGAACGUGCCUUUAGGUUCGGAAUAGCUCCUGGAAACGGGUGGUAAUGCCGAAUGUGCCCUUCGGGGGAAAGAUUUAUCGCCUUUAGAGCGGCCCGCGUCUGAUUAGCUAGUUGGUGAGGUAAUGGCUCACCAAGGCGACGAUCAGUAGCUGGUCUGAGAGGAUGACCAGCCACAUUGGGACUGAGACACGGCCCAAACUCCUACGGGAGGCAGCAGUGGGGAAUCUUGCGCAAUGGGCGAAAGCCUGACGCAGCCAUGCCGCGUGAAUGAUGAAGGUCUUAGGAUUGUAAAAUUCUUUCACCGGGGACGAUAAUGACGGUACCCGGAGAAGAAGCCCCGGCUAACUUCGUGCCAGCAGCCGCGGUAAUACGAAGGGGGCUAGCGUUGCUCGGAAUUACUGGGCGUAAAGGGCGCGUAGGCGGACAUUUAAGUCAGGGGUGAAAUCCCAGAGCUCAACUCUGGAACUGCCUUUGAUACUGGGUGUCUUGAGUGUGAGAGAGGUAUGUGGAACUCCGAGUGUAGAGGUGAAAUUCGUAGAUAUUCGGAAGAACACCAGUGGCGAAGGCGACAUACUGGCU
rnacentral:rRNA from 1 species